rnacentral:rRNA from 1 species
AAACUUUCAACAACGGAUCUCUUGGUUCUCGCAUCGAUGAAGAACGCAGCGAAUUGCGAUAAGUAUUACGACUUGCAGACGUGAAUCAUUAAUUUUUGAACGCACAUUGCGCCUUUUGGUAUUCCAAAAGGCAUGGGGGAGUGAGAGUAUUU